AUUCGGUUGCCUGUGCGGUUUUACCCUUGUUGGUUGCACAUUUUUGCCGUUGUUGUGUAUUCUGCUUGCUCUGUUGAUGCUAUGCAUCGAUGGGUGGCCGAGGCGUUGGCAAACUCCAUGCGCUGCGAUGCACUUUGUGCGUUGGAACUGCAAUUGGAUGUUUGCUGGGUCUCACGGAUAUCAGUCCCUAUGUUGAGCGGCCUACGGGCUUCCAGCCUUCAGGCUCAUGGUGUAGCGCUUGCACGUAUCGUUGUUGCUGAUGUUCCACCGACAUGUCGUGGUUUUCGCGUCAUGUUGAGGGAUCGCACUCGGUGCACGAUUAUGUGUCUGUGCGUACGCCUUCUCGACCGAAUGACGUGCGAUUGCCCGGCGGCAUCGUCGUAAGGCC
rnacentral:misc_RNA from 1 species